GGGGGUGUACCGGUUUCGACGGGGAGACAGAGGCAGGAAUAGCGGGCAGAUGUGCCUGGCAUCUAUAAAACGGGCAUUUUUAUAAAUUAAAGAACAACGAUAACACUGUUCUUCUCGCUGCUUAAUCAGUGAGCGUUCUGCCUGAGAGUACCACGGCUCGGGACAGGGCGUCGACUAGUGGUGAACGUGCGUACGCUAAGCUUUGCGCGUGCCAUGCAUCAUGAAGCUACCAAACCCCGGAGAGUGACGGCUCUCGCCGGGGCGAGGGAAUGCAAAUAACCGUCUGCGCCCGGAGAAGUUUCUGAUGAAGUCUUUUCGGACAGGAGUUCGACUCUCCUCACCUCCACCA
rnacentral:tmRNA from 1 species